rnacentral:lncRNA from 1 species
AAUUUUGUUAGCUAUUAGCAGUUAAUUAUUUUUAAGGUAAACUUCAAAUACCAUCAAUGUGGUUUCGUACUUUCUCAUUUUAGUACCCGGUGUCUUAAAGUGUAUCAAUUUAGUAUCUCGUGGUUUCAUUUUUUUCUUUUCGUCAGUCCCUCUUCUAAUUUUUCGUUAAAUCAUGUACAAAAAACUUCAGAUAUCCCACCUAUAGUUUAUCAAUUAUUCACUUUACUGCCUUUUAGUUCUAAUUUUUUCACUGAUUUAAUGAAAAAAAUAGUAAAAGUAGAUAACAAAAAGAGAAAAUAAAAUCACAAGGUAUGGAAAUGACACAUCUUAAAUCACAUAAUAUUAAAGUGAGAAAAUGUGAAACUAUGGAGAUGAUAUUUAAAGUUUUUUUUUAUAAAUAAAUAAUGCUAUUAAAUGUUACGAAUAAAAAUAUAUUAAAUUAGGGGAAACUUCAAAUAACCUCUUAUGGUUUCGCACUUUUUCACUUUACUACCUUAUGGUUUAAAGUGUAUCAAGCUAGUACCCUGUGGUUUCACACUUUCUCACUUUACUACCCUGUGGUUUAAUAUUUCGUUAAAUUAUAUACCCCGAAAUGGGUGUUAAAAAGAGAAAACUGAAACCACAAGGUACUAACUUGAUACACUUGAAAUCACAUAGUACUAAACUGAAAAAGUAUGAAACCACAAGAUACUAACUUGAUAUACUUUAAAUUAUAUGGCACUAAAGUGAAAAAAUACGAAACCACGAAUUAUGCCACG